rnacentral:rRNA from 1 species
CCUACGGGUGGCAGCAGUCGAGAAUCAUUCACAAUGGGCGAAACCCUGAUGGUGCGACGCCGCGUGGGGGAAUAAAGGUCUUCGGAUUGUAAACCCCUUUCAUGUGGGAGCAAAUUAAAAAGAUAGUACCACAAGAGGAAGAGACGACUAACUCUGUGCCAGCAGCCGCGGUAAUACAGAGGUCUCAAGCGUUGUUCGGAGUCACUGGGCGUAAAGCGUGCGUAGGCUGUUUCGUAAGUCGUGUGUGAAAGGUGUCGGCUCAACCCGCGGACGGCACAUGAUACUGGGAGACUAGAGUAAAGGAGAGGUAAGUGGAAUUCGCGGUGUAGCAGUGAAAUGCGUAGAUAUCGAGAGGAACACUAGUGGCGAAGGCGGGUCCCUGGACAUUAACUGACGCUGAGGUACGAAAGCGAGGGGAGCGAACGGGAUUAGAUACCCGGGUAGUC